rnacentral:misc_RNA from 1 species
GACUCUGUCUGUGUAUCUCAGC